GAUGAACGCUGGCAGCGUGGAUAAGGCAUGCAAGUCGAACGGUAACAGGGAGCUUGCUCCGCUGACGAGUGGCGAACGGGUGAGUAACGUAUCGGAACGUACCUUUCAGUGGGGGAUAACGCAGCGAAAGUUGCGCUAAUACCGCAUAUUCUGUGAGCAGGAAAGCAGGGGAUCGCAAGACCUUGCGCUGAUUGAGCGGCCGAUAUCAGAUUAGCUAGUUGGUGAGGUAAAGGCUCACCAAGGCGACGAUCUGUAGCGGGUCUGAGAGGAUGAUCCGCCACACUGGAACUGAGACACGGUCCAGACUCCUACGGGUGGCAG
rnacentral:rRNA from 1 species